UUCGUCACACUCCGCUGCCCAUCACAUCUGUUAUUCGCUGUAUAUAACCCUAGUAAUUAAAACUUGCUUACAUUGAGUCGCCUUUGUCAAAUUAAUUUUCGCUUUGUUCUGUUAUUGAAAACAGAAGGCAAAAUGAAUUAGCUUUCCUUGCCCUUUGGUAAGUGGGAGAAUUAGUUGCUGAGCCUGAACCAAUCUUUUGAAGAAAGGCAGAUUUUCUCAUAUUUUGAGUAGGUACGCUCCUAAAGACCCUUCCAAUUUUAGGCCCUUUGCUUUGGCUCGGUGUUAGUUGCUAAUAUUAGAGGCUUUUCUUUCUACUUGUUUUAUUGUAAUUUUCUUUUCUGGUUUAGCUCCACUUUUGUUCUCUGUUUUCCUUUUUCUUUACCUACAGAUUUUGUUAUUCAGUUUGCUUACGGUUUGUUUCUCGCAACUUAGAGAAAAAAAAAGAAAAAAAGGAAAAAAAAUGGAGUUUCUUGUUGCCAUCGUUAGCUCUUUUGUCGCCACAGCUGCAAAGUACACGAUCUCUCCCAUCAAAAACCAUAUCAAAUACUUUUCCAAUCAUGAGAACCAUAUUCAGACCCUCAAGAAUCAAGCUGAGAGCCUGAAGGAUGCGAGAGAAAGAGUGCAGCACUCGGUUGAUGCUGCUAAACGAAACGGGGAAGAGAUCGAACAGGAUGUUGACAAGUGGUUGACUACAGUCAACAAGAAGAUCGCUGAAGAAGUGGAGAAAGUAAUGCGAGAUGAAGAAGACGCAAAGAAAAAGUGUUUCAUUGGCUUGUGUCCUAAUAUAUGGACUCGUUACAAGCUUAGCGUGAAAGCUGAAGAGGAGGCGAAGGCUGUUGCUGAGCUACUCGAGCAGGCCGAAUUUGACAGGGUUUCUUUUCGUGCAGCUCCACAAGGUAUCGUUGGCGCAUCAGUUAAAGGUUUCGAAGAAUUCGAGUCAAGGACGUUGGUUUUGAAUGGAAUCUUGGAGGCACUGAAAGAUGCUAGUGUCAACGUUAUAGGGGUGCACGGGAUGGGUGGCAUAGGAAAGACUACACUAGUCAAAGAAGUUGUUAGACAGGUCAAGGAGGGCAAGUUAUUUAAUUCCGUAGUUUUAGCAACCGUAACUCAGACCCUUGAUGUUAAGGGAAUUCAAGACCAAAUUGCAGAUUUAUUGGGUUUAAGAUUUGACGAACAGAGUAUGGUAGGAAGGGCACAUCGACUGCAAGAAAGAUUGAAAAAAGAGGAGAAGAUUCUUGUUGUUUUGGAUGAUAUAUGGGCAAGAUUAGAUCUUGAGGAAGUUGGGAUUCCUUUUGGAAAUGAACAUGAGGGAUGCAAGAUUCUGCUAACUUCUAGAGAUCUCAAUGUCUUAUCAAGUGGGAUGGAUACUCAGAAAAAUUUUGCAGUUGGCCUUUUAAAUGAAGAAGAAGCCUGGGACCUGUUUAAGAAGAUGGCUGGUGACUGUGUUGAAAGUUGUGAUUUACAGGCUACAGCUAUUGAAGUAGCAAAGAAAUGUGCGGGACUGCCAAUCGCCAUUGCAACAGUUGCAAGGGCUUUGAGAAACAAAAGUUUGUUUGAAUGGAAGAGUGCUUUGUGUGAACUAAAGAGGCCUUCAUCAAGAAACUUUAAAGGUGUAACAGCAGGCGUAUAUUCAGCUAUAGAGUUGAGUUACAAUUAUUUAGAAAGCGAGGAAGUUAAGUUGACUUUCUUGCUUUGCAGUUUCUUAGGCCAUAAUGGGUUGAUUGAUGACGUGUUGAAAUAUAUAAUCGGUCUGGGUUUGUUUCAUGGCGUCCACACAAUAGAGGAAGCAAGAAACAGAGUAUUGACAGUGGUGAGUAACCUGAAAGCCUUAUGUCUGUUGCUUGAUAGUUACAACGGUGAACGGUUUGAUAUCCAUGACGUCGUUUGGUAUGUUGCUACAUCAAUUGCAAAUAGGGACCUCGGCAUGUUUGCGUUAAUAAAUGGUGAUGUGCUGAAACAGUGGCCUGAAAACGAGGCGAUGAGAAAUUGCAGUGCGAUUAAUUUACUUAAUCCUAAUAUUAGUGAGCUUCCUGAGGAGAUGGAGUGUUCACUUCUUUCCUUUUUCCAUAUGGCCCAUGAAGGUACAGUGAAAAUUCCCGCCAACUUCUUUAGACGAACAGAAAGACUCAAUGUCUUAGAUUUGACUGGAAUGCACUUUCUAUCCCUACCAGUGUCAAUUGAACUCCUCGCAAACCUUCACACGUUGUGUCUAAACCAAUGUACACUAGAUGACAUAACCAUUGUUGGGAAGCUCAAGAAUUUAGAAAUCCUUAGCCUUGCUCGAUCGGACAUUAAAGCACUACCUCAGGAGAUAGCACAAUUGACUCAGUUAAGGAUGCUAGAUUUGAGUGAUUGUACUAGACUCAAAAUUAUCCCACCAAAUGUCUUGUCGAGUUUGUCCAAAUUAGAAGAAUUAUAUAUGGACAAUGGCUUUGUUCAAUGGGAAGAUGAAGUACUCGGCAAAGAAAGAAGAAAUGCUAGUCUUGAGGAGUUAAAGCAUUUGUCUUAUCUGACCACAUUAUAUGCUCAUAUUCCUAAUGCCCAACUAAUUCCAAAACAUCUGUUCAUUGAGCCAUUGGACAGAUACAGGAUUCUGAUUGGAGAUGAGUGGGAGUGGUCCAAUGACUAUGAAUACUCAAGAACAUUGAAAUUCAAGUUGCAUACAAGCAUUUACAGGGAUCAUGGGGUAAAAAUAUUGAUGAACAAGACUGAAGAUUUACAUCUGGAUCAACUUAAAGGCAUCAAGAAUGUACUUGCUGAGUUAAAUAAUGGGGAAGAUUUUCCACAUUUAAAGAAACUUCACAUCCAAAAUGGUCGGGAGGUCCAAUAUAUUGCAACAGAGAAAAUUAAACUUUCUCAAUUGCAGUCCAUGACACUUGAAGGUCUGCCACAGCUCAUUACCUUCUGCUCUCAAGACAAAAGGUGUUCCACAUCCCAGCAGGAGGGAAACACGAGCUCUGAGCCCUUGCCACUUUUCAAUAAACAGCUUGUGUUACCUCACUUGGAAAGCCUGCGAUUGUCCUCAAUUAACGCCAAAAGAAUAUGGCACAACCAGCUUUCAGAGGCAAGUUAUGGCGUUCCGAAUUUAACGAGCUUGAUCAUUGAGGGCUGUGACAGCUUGGAAUAUCUAUUAUCGCCCUCUAUUGCUAGAAGUCUGGUGCAGCUCAAACACUUAAAGAUCGGGGAAUGCAUGUGCUUAAGAGAUGUAAUAUCUACAGAGGGAAUAGAAGAAGAAAAGGAAGGUGUGAUUUGUUUCCCUCGAUUAGACUCGCUGGAGAUAAAGUAUCUUCGUAAUUUCAUCAAAUUCUGCUCAGGAAAUUAUAAUAUUGAGUUCCCUGCCUUGAAAGUACUGAAGAUCAAGCACUGCCGAAAAUUAAGAGAAUUUAUUGAUGAAAGUAAAAUGGAGGGGGACUAUCAAUCCAGUAUACAAGCUCUCUUCAAUGAGAAGGCCGCAGUUCCUAGCUUGGAAAGGAUGAAAAUCUCCCAUUUGGGAAAUGUGAAGAAGAUAUUUCAUAACGAACUUCUGGCUGGUUCUUUUUGUAAAUUAGAAGAAAUGAUAGUUGAAAACUGUGAUGAGUUGUUGACUGUUUUUUCAUCUACUAUAGUCGGAGUAUUUAGCUGUCUGGGAAAGCUUACAGUGAACGACUGUGGUUCACUACAACAGAUAUUUGAGGCUGGAGGGUUAAAUAUCAAAGAAAUACGUGCUGUAGAUUGCCAACUAAGAGAAUUGUUCAUUUAUGACCUACCAAAACUGGAGCAUGUUUGGAACGAUCCCCUUGGAAUUCUUGCAUUUCAAAAUCUGCGAAAAGUAGCUGUUUGGGAUUGUCCGAGUUUGAAAAAUCUAUUUCCAUUGUCAAUUGCCAAAGAUCUUCCACAACUUGAAUCUCUAAUGGUGAGUAGUUGUGGGGUGGAGGAGAUUGUGUCGGCAGGGGAAGGAUUGGAGAAGCCUUUUAGGUUCAAGUUUCCUCAAGUGUCUUCCCUGCGGCUUAUAUGCCUGAAUGGGCUCAAAUGUUUCUAUCCAGGGCAACACACAAUAGUCUGGCCCAUGUUGAAAAAAUUGGGGACAGAUUAUUCAACUUUACUGAAGAUGGUAGCUUCCGAACGUCUUAGCAUCCAAGAAUUGAAUGGGAAUGACCAACGAGAAUGUACAAUUCGACAGCCACUUUUCUUGGUUGAAGAGGUAAUUCCCAAAUUAGAGGAACUGUGGUUAGAAAAAAUUGAUGAUAUUGCAAUGAUAUGUGAUGGCCAGUUGCCAGUGGAAUUCUUUCACCAGAUAAAAGUUUUUGUGCUGCAUGGUUCCCUAAUUAGUGGAUCUGCUAGUUUUCCAAUUAGUUUCUUCCAACUAUUCUACAAUCUGGAAAUUGUUGAAUUUUUUGACUGCAACUUCAAAUAUCUAGUCUCUUGUGAAGGAAAUGUUGCUGAGAAGGAAGAUGCUGCGACACCUCUCCCUCGACUUAGAAAGUUAAAAUUGAAUUAUUCUAAAAGUCUUACACAUAUAUGGAAGAAAGAUUCAAUGCUAGCCUACAUUCUUCCUAAUCUUGAAACUCUUGAAGUCGAGGGAUGUGAUGAUUUGAUAAGUUUUGGAUCCUCACCCUCUUCAGCAUCUUUUCAAAAUCUCACAACUUUGGAAGUGCAAUGGUGCAACAUGAUGGUAAACUUGGUUACAGCCUCAGUAGUCCAGAAUCUGGUACAAUUAACGACAAUGAGGAUAGUGUAUUGCGAUACAAUGACAGAAGUUAUUGCAAUCGAGGGAUCAGAUGGAGCAACAUAUAAUGAGAAAAUAUUUUUCAGGAAAUUGAAAUAUUUAGAACUUAGCGGUUUACAGAGCCUCACAAGCUUUUGUCCAGGGAAUUAUGCCUUCAAGUUUCCUUGUUUGGAACAAUUAAUUGUGAAUGGGUGUCCUAGCUUGAAAAUCUUUUCUCAGGGUGUUGUAAGCACCCCACGAUUACAAAGAGUAAAAGAGUCGCGUAAUCAUCGCAAAGGGCGUUGGACUGGUGACCUUAAUAGCACCAUACAGCAGUUGUACACAGAAAAGGUUGGAUGCCAUCAUUUCAAAUUCUCGGACACAUUUCCCGAGUUGAUGGAAAUAUGGAAUAUCAACCCUCAAGAAAUUUUGGACUUCAAAAACCUUAGAAGUGUCAAAUUUUGUAAUUGUAGCAGCUUGAAAUACAUAUUUACUCUCUCUAUGGCUUUGAGCCUCAAGCGACUUUACCAAUUAGAAGUAAAAGAAUGCAGUACAAUGGAAGAAGUCAUCGUGGAGCAGGGCGUUGAGGAGGAACCAACGACAGAUAAGUUAACAAUAUUCCCCUGGCUUUGGAACAUAGAAAUUGAAUCAUGUCUCAACCUGACAAGUUUUUAUUUGGGAAGUCAAGCUCUUGAAUUUCCAUCGUUGCAAAUAAUUAAAAUAGCUGACUGUCCAAAAAUGACUACAUUUUCAAGAGACAAGGAGGAAGGGACAGCUGGCGAUGGAAAGAAAAAAAGGCUUGGUCAGGACGUCUAUAUUACUGCAACCUUUUUCAGCCAUAAGGUUGUCUAUCCCAAGUUGGAGAGUUUGGAUUUGUCCUCAAUUAACAUUCAAAGGAUAUGGCACGAGCAACUACUCCCAUCCUCGUCAUAUAUUGAGAAAUUAGAAUUCUUGAGGGUGAAGAGCUGUCACAAUUUGAAAUAUAUGUUUCCAUCUUUCAUGGCAAAAGAUUUUGUGCAACUCCAUAGCCUCAAAAUUUUGGACUGUAAGAUCAUGGAAGAAGUAAUCUUAAUUGAAGGAUUUCCAGAAGAGGAAAGGAUGAGCCAGAUGUUGUUCCCUGAACUAAAUUUCCUGUCGCUCGAAGACCUUCCCAAACUCACAAGAUUCUGCUUUGAACCUUACUUUAAAUUCCCAUGUUUGAGAAUUUUAAGACUAACAAAUUGUCCUUUACUGAAAACAUUCAUCUCUAAAUCUGUAACUGGAGAUAAGCCUCAAAUUCAUCAAAAUACAGAAGGCAGUAACGUGGAGGUUGAUAAUUCCUCUCUCUUCAAUGAAAAGGUGGUUUUCCCUAGUUUAGAGGAGUUGACAGUCAAAGGUAUGAGGGACUGUAGAAAGAUAUGGCAGGACCAAAUAGGUAUGGAUUCAUUUAGCAAACUAAAGGAAAUACUGGUUGAAGGCUGUGAAACACUCUUAAAUGUUUUUCCCUUGAGCAUGAUGGAAAGACUUGAGGAACUAGACAAGUUGGAGAUUGUGAAUUGUGAUUCGUUAGAAGAAAUAAUUGACCCACGAGGACUCAUUGCUAAUGAAUCACAUGCAGUAACAGCUACUGAAUCUAUUGUGGUAGAAGCAGCGAUUAAAUUUGUAUUUCCCAGAGUAACAUAUCUUCGACUUGAUGAAUUGCCCAAAUUGAAAAGUUUCUACUCUAGGAUGCAUGCUAUAGAAUGGCCAUCACUCAAAAAAAUGGAGCUGAUUUCUUGUUACAAAGUAGAGUUAUUUGCUUCAAAAUGCCUUUGCUUUGGAGAGACUCAUUCAGAGAGUCAGCUGGGUGAAAUCUCAAAUAAACAACCCCUGUUUUGGGUCAAUGAGGAUACUUUCCCUGUCUUAAAAGAAUUGACAUGGAAGCGGAACGAUAUGAUGAAAGGGAUAUGGCAUGGACAAGUCUCAUUGGAGUGUUUCAGAAAACUAGAAGUUAUUAACCUCGAAUGCUUUCCUGACACAUCAACAGCUGCUCUUCCAUAUUGCUUCCUUCGGUCAUUACCCAAUCUAGAGAAGAUUGUCUUGAAUGAAGCUUCCUUCUGUCAAAUAUUCCAGUUUGAAGGGAUCAGCGAUGAGGAAAGACAUACAUCAGCACUCACUCAAAUAAAGAAAUUGAGGUUGUCUAAACUUCCAGAGUUGACACAUCUCUGGAAGGAAGAAUUCAAUCCUAGAGCAACUUUAUGUAACAUGAGAAUUCUUGAAGUGCUGGAAUGUGGACAAUUAAAGUCUUUAGUGCCAUCAUCGGUGUCUUUUGAAAAUUUAACAACUCUGGAAGUUUCAAGAUGUCAUGGAUUCGUCAAUUUAAUAGCGUGCUCAACAGCUAAAAGCCUGAUGCUACUAGAAAGAAUGAGCAUAACUGAUUGCAAGAUGAUAGAGGAAAUCAUAGCUUGUGAGGGUGAAGAAAUAAAAGGUGGCAUUAUUUUCACCAAACUGAAGUAUCUGCGGCUAAGUUGUCUACCAAGUCUAAUAAGCUUUUGCUUAGGGGAUCACAUCUUUGAAUUCCCGGCCUUGAGAAGGGUAAUUGUAAAAGAGUGCCCAAAAAUGAAAAAUUUCUGUGAAGGAGUUUUAAGCACACCAAAGCUGCAACAAGUGCAAUUGACAGAAGAUGAAGAUGAAGAUGAAGUAAAAGUGCGGUGGGAAGGUGACUUUAAAACUACUGUAAAACAGCUGUUCGAAGAAAUGAAUGUCCAAAAUUCUGAAGUGACAGAGGUGACCCAUCAGUUGGACAAGCUGGAAUAAGGCAACAUGUUUUGGUGCUUGUGAGACAAUCUCAUUUUCCUUUCAAUUCAAAUCGGAUGGAAAAGUGACGUGGGAGUUGCCUUCUGAUCGUUGAAUGUUGAAUUGUUCUACUGAAGUUGGAGACUGCCAUUUUCCUUUAAACUCAAAAGGUGCAACAUGCAUGGCACUGCAAAUUACAACAUGUAUUAUUUUACUUGCAAAGUCAAUCAGCUUAAGACUGCGGAAUUUCAAAAUUACCAAAAUUUGUUCUUCAAGGUUGAUGGAUUUUCCAAUAUGUUAUGGAUAUCAUUAAGUCUCUCAUCCUUCAUCCAUUUCGACAACAUUAUGCGACAGAAUAGUAUAUUCUUUUGCUGAUAUGAAGCAAAAAUGAGAUCAAACUUGGCUCUUUGCCUGCGAGGCUCAGUGAUAAAGAUUGUUCUCCUAUGGUUGAGAAAAUCACUAAGAGAAUCAACAAUUGGACGUCCAAGCACCUAUUUUAUGCUGGGAGGCUUUAACUUGUCCAGUCACUUUUCUUUGGUAUGCAAAACCUCUAGUGUAGUCAAUUCAUUGUUCCCCAAAAAGUGACAAAAUAAAGUGACUCAAUUCUGUUUUGCUUUAUUUUGGAAGGGGAUGGAAAAUUCUACGAUUAUUAGUUGGGAUUUCAUUUGUCAAGGGGACAUGAUUUGAAAAAUCUUAAGGAGUGGAAUCAAGCAUGUAUCUUGAAGAACAUCUGGAUUCUCCUUACAAAAUAUGGCUCGUUAUGGGCUGCAUAGGUUUCUACUUAGGUGCUUGGGGGGGUGAGAUUCUUUAUAAAUCUAGUCUUCCAAGAAAUAAAGAGAUAGUUUGUUAAUUCUCUUUACUUGUAUUGUUUUUCUUGGUAAUGUUGUUUAGUAGAAUUUUUCAUCUGAUAGCACUGUUUCAUAUAAAAGGAAAAUUUUUAUUAUUUAUUAUCAAAAUUAAAUCAUAAAUAGAUUUACUGUUGUUUUUUAGUAAUAUUUUAUCUUAAUUUUGAUUUGGAAUCAUUCUAGAUAAUUUUGCAUUGUUGAUUUUUUUUUUUAUCAAAUCAAAUUGAGUUGUAUCGAGACAAAAUAGAAAAUUUCAACUUUAGACAGUUUUGAUGGCUCGAAUGAUGCAAGGUUGGGUUAGUUAAUUUAAGGCCAUAUUGAUAUCAAACCUCAUCCAUCAUCUUCAUGUCAUGGUUAUUGUUUAGCACUUGAUAUAUGAAGAAGCAUAUUAUCGUAGCCUAGCUGUUAGUUAGCCAUUUACAUAACAAUAAUUAAUCAACAUGCAGUAUUACAUCCUAACACCUGUAAUUUUUUUUUUUUUAACUUUAAGUUGCUGGUUACGGCC